rnacentral:rRNA from 1 species
CCUACGGGUGGCAGCAGUGAGGAAUAUUGGUCCAUGGGCGCGAGCCUGAACCAGCCAAGUCGCGUGAGGGAAGACGGUCCUAUGGAUUGUCAACCUCUUUUGUCGGGGAGCAAAAGACGCCACGCGUGGCGUUCCGAGAGUACCCGAAGACCAAGCAUCGGCUAACUCCGUGCCAGCAGCCGCGGUAAUACGGAGGAUGCGAGCGUUCUCCGGAUUUCUUGGGUUUAAAGGGUGCGCAGGCGGAAGAUCAAGUCAGCGGUAAAAUUGAGAGGCUCAACCUCUUCGAGCCGUUGAAACUGGUUUUCUUGAGUGAGUGAGAAGUAUGCGGAAUGCGUGGUGUAGCGGUGAAAUGCAUAGAUAUCACGCAGAACUCCGAUUGCGAAGGCAGCAUACCGGCGCUCAACUGACGCUCAUGCACGAAAGUGUGGGUAUCGAACAGGAUUAGAUACCCCUGUAGUC